rnacentral:lncRNA from 1 species
AACAGAACUGCUGGAUGAGUUUGGAACAGCUCAGAUCCUGCACUCCAUCCAACGGGGCUGUGCCAGCUCCUCCUCCAAGCUGCUGGAAGCAGUCAGAUACUGAAAGGAUGCUCCCAUGUUUCCGGAUUUUCUGUGGCCUCAGAAGAGCUGACAGAACUGACAAGGACACUUGUAUAGAAACAGAACUUGUCUUAAAGCUGGUUUUUAAAGGAGCAGAGAAGAGUGUGCCUAAGGACAGUGUUAAACACCUGGCUUCCUGCAGAUCCUCCUUCCCAAGAGGCAGAUAAUCUCUUUUCCAAAGAGACCUAAUCUCUCCAUUAGGCUAUAAACAACCCUCGUUUCAAACAUCGUGUUUCAAGACUGAGCUAAUAGCACAGCUGGGUAUAACUACGUCAAAUCGUGUGCUUACAUUUUUGGUCAAAGAGGAUUGUAUGAGUUUGAUUGUAUAAGCAGGAAUCCGGAGUGGAAAGAGCCACAGCGCAGCAGCCCCAAUCCUGGGCUUCUUCUGCCCCCUGGCGACAACUACAGGCCUUCUGCUGCUUUUGGGGCUUAAACACACCCAG